rnacentral:rRNA from 1 species
GAUGAACGCUGACAGAAUGCUUAACACAUGCAAGUCUUUGGCGAAGCUGCGCUUGCGCAGACGAGCCAAGGCGGACGGGUGAGUAACGCGUAAGGAACUUGCCCUGCAGACAGGGAUAACAGACGGAAACGACUGACAAGACCUGAUACAGUUGCCGGCACGAAUGUGCCUGGCGAUGAAAGGAGACGCUGCAGGAGAGCCUUGCGUCCUAUUAGCUUGUUGGCGGGGUAAUGGCCCACCAAGGCGAUGAUAGGUAGCCGGCCUGAGAGGGUGGACGGCCACAAGGGGACUGAGAUACGGCCCUUACUCCUACGGGAGGCAGCAGGGGGAAUAUUGGACAAUGGGGGCAACCCUGAUCCAGCAAUUCUGUGUGCACGAAGAAGGUUUUCGAAUUGUAAAGUGCUUUCAGCAGGGAAGAAGAAAGUGACGGUACCUGCAGAAGAA